AUGAAAUUUGAUCUCAAAACAAUUUUCUGUUCCCCAAACUAUUUCAUGUUAUGAACAGAGUGUACCAUGUGCGAAAGUUUUUUUAAAAUCACGUUGUUUACAAGAAACGUCAAGGCGAGGAGGGGGAAGUAACGGAAAUAUGCAGAUAAAUGCUAGAACGCGCCAAUAGGAUCUUGCAAGUUCGUGAUUGGCUCUAACCACCUCUUUCCUUGUUCUGCCCACUAUGACUAAUUAGUUCCCAUUGGAAACAACAGGCUGUGUCUAUCUUGGUCUAGUUAUAACAAAUCUUUGCUGAAGUCAUUCCCAAAAAACAAUAGCACUUCCGGAAACAAACCUACGGAUCUGGUAGUGGGACAAUCUACACUACGCUCCUCUCUGGAGAGAUGUCUUUAUUUGAACAAAACCUUUGCAUGUUCUCACGUUGACUGUAAAAAAAGGUUGAAAAUAUAAUCCGGCUAUUUUUAUAAAAUUGUGUAAAAUAUUUACAGGAAAUCUACACACCACUCAGUGCGUCACACAAAGCACUGUGUGCCGUGUCCAUAGAAGAAGAAGCCAUGUUCUGAUCAUUCUUGUAAGUUAUAUUCGAAAUAAUAAUCGAUUGUACAUGUAUAUGAGUGUUGGUUGAAGAUGUCUGCCACCCAAGAUGUCGAAGGAAGGGUUUCAAAUUCAGUUCGCCUCUGUUAUGGAGAGUGUAUUGAAUACUGCAGUCACCGAGACAAUGAAACUUUUCGAAACAACUAUUGAGGAACUGCGGGCCGAAAUAUCCAGAAUAAAAAAAGAGAACAAGGACCUCAAAUCGAGGCGUCGAUCCCAUGAAAUAACGAAGAGAUGGACCGGUGAAAGUGAACGCCAAAACCACAGAGCCCAGACCGAGUCAAAGUGCAACACGUAUCGGAAAAUGUGACAUCGGCGUUCAAUGCGUUCUGACAAAGCAGGCUUUACCUCGGGCUGGGGAGCAAUCCCUGCGGGAGGAGGACCAGGGGACUGAGCUGCACUGUGGAGCGUAUGACGAGCCUUUGUUCUGAUCAAACAGGAGGUGGACUGGGAGGCAGACUAUUCUGAUGACUACUCCCCUGGGUACAUACUGCUGAAGAAGGAAGGGGCAGGCCCCCGACUCUGGUCCACAGACAACCUCUCAGAGAGUUACCAGGCAGAGUCUUUUGUUCUUUCUCUGUCUCUCUCUGCGUCUCUCGCUUUCCACUAUCCACGCCACCUUUCUCCGUCCUGUCCCUCUGUAGCCCUGGUCCCUCCUGGAGCCGUCAGGGCCCUGAUCAACCGUUAUACCCAGGAAAGUCUACCUCAGGAGCCGCAGCGGCCGUCUUCCAGGGAGAUCCAGACACCCAGGAGGCCCCCCAGGCUCUCAACCCAUCCCAGCCCAGGACCAGAGAGGUUACCAGUGGUAGUGCAGGCCAGGCCCCUGGAGCAGAACAGCAGUCACUGGUAAUACCAGCAGCAGAGUCUCCAUCAACAUUACACCAGACAGCAUCUCCUCAAUCAGCAGCCACUAUCCAGUCUACAUCAUCUGUCCUGUCUGCUGUAUUGGUCCAGUCCACGGUAACUACUCUGUCAAAAGAAACUGUCCAGUCGACCGUAAAUGUGAAGUCGACAGC